UAAUCUCAAGAGUUAUCUGUAAUAUAGUUCCUGCAUGCUUCUCUCUGGCUCAGAGUCUGCUUCCUGGGAACUUGGUGGAACUUGGUCCAUGACAGUUGGUGCCAGAAGUGGUUUGAGAAACAAGAGGCUAAGAUGAGAUUUUGGAGCUGGAUCACCUGCUGCUCAGUUGGUGUUGAGGACCUCCACCAACCACUAGAUAGCACCUGGCAUGAGAGAGCAGCGCGCUUAUUAACACUUACACCAGAGUUAGCAGAACUGUCUUCCGUCUGUGUUCUUGGAAUCAUGAGAUCUUGGAAGUCCCUGCUCAACUGAAAGAAAAAAAAAACACUUUUCGCAGGCUGCACGGUGAUUUCAAGAUGUCCAUACUGAAACAUGGUAGUGUUUCCAUUUCCAUCAGACUUCAGUUGUAUAAACAUGCUGGACUCCAGGCAGGUUGCCCAGGCUCGCCCAGUCACACUAACCUGUGUGAGACCAAUCAUAAAGCAAUACGUGCCGAACCAGACUGCGCAAUCCCUCAAGAUAUUUGCUGUCCCUACUUGCAAGGAUUAAGUUUAUCUGCUUCACUGAUACAGGCUUAGCCGUGUCUUGCUUUGGCUGGUGGAAUCUGAGCAGAAGUGAUGUGUAUCAGCUCUGAACAGAAGCUUGAAGAGCCAGCAUGUGAUCCCCUGUGCCCUUUUCUUUUCCCUCUCUGCGAAGAGUCAGGCAAUAUUCCAAAAAGAGGCUGCUUUGUUAGCUGGGGUCCUGGAGAGAACGUGACAUAAAACCCGAUGACUCUGACCCGCAAGAAACAUGCAACAUGUUGGAACUACAAGUUGGAGAGGUGUUGGUGCUGUUUGUUUCCAUGGCAUAACCUGGUCUGUCCUCUAACGGAUACACUCCUUUACACGUGAAGACACUAAGGACACAAGUAUUCCACUGGUACCAGUGAUACCACUGCUAGCAGGCAACACACAUAGGAGUGCUGUACAGAUGUUUUAAAAGUCUGAUGAAACCAAGAUGACAAUCCGAGGAGAGUGCCGUAGCUUUGUCCUGUGACCUCCUUCCAGAAACGUUCCUGCCUGGUUCACAUAAUGAUCAUCAUGGUGAAAGCAAGAAAAUGCUUUCUAAAUUGCAAGGACUUAUGGAGUCUUUGUUUAUCCUAUUCCAUGGGUGGGGGCAGGGUGUUUUUCACAUUCUGCAUUAAAGUAUGUCCAAUGUGCUUCAAAAUAUUUGUCAGCCACGCAGCGAAACCCGCAACUCCUCACUGUGCGGCCUGAGACGGAGAACAGGGACAUGUAUGCUGAGGACUUGCCUCACCCGUGUCUCCCAACAGCAGUCUGGAGAGUGAAGGUCAUUGUCUUCUUGGCCCAGAGCUCGGCUUUCUGCCUUCUUGCAUCAGAUUUUACUCUGUGUUCUGCUUACUCUGCUAAAGGAAAACUUAAAUGAAGCAUUCCACCCACUUCCCCACGAACCCAAAGUUCUUCAGGGCAUGGGGGGCACAUCAUGUCUAGGGGACAGCUCUGAACACUCUGGUCAGGUGUUGCCUGGCCUCCAUCCAAUUUGCCAAAACCUCCCAGGUGCCACUCUGGCGACAUCGUUGUUCAGUCUCUGCAGAGGACUUGGUACGACAUCCCGUUUGGCGUGCUGGUAUGUGCCUCACCUUUUGAAAGAAGAGCUAUGAGCAAAUUACCCAUUAUCAGCCCCAACAUUAGGUUAUUGUCAACUUACUACUCCCAUUUUUACAAUAUUGAUAAGGACAGCAUUAAGUAAUUAUAAAUGUAUUUAUAAUCAUUUCUGAGAAACUGUACAAAGUAAUUUAAGUGGGAGAAGAUUAUUUCUCCAAUUUUAGAGACCAUGAAAAAUCUGAAAUAAAAAUUUUUAAGAUAGUCUGUCUUACCUGAAACUUUUGUAAACUUCUAGCAAACAAAAGUCAUAAAUAAAGUUGUUAAC